GAUGAACGCUGGCGGCGUGCCUAAUACAUGCAAGUCGAACGCGCAGCGAAAGGUGCUUGCACCUUUCAAGCGAGUGGCGAACAGGUGAGUAACACGUGGAUAACCUGCCUCAAGGCUGGGGAUAACAUUUGGAAACAGAUGCUAAUACCGAAUAAAACUUAGUAUCGCAUGAUACAAAGUUGAAAGGCGCUACGGCGUCACCUAGAGAUGGGUCCGCGGUGCAUUAGUUAGUUGGUGGGGUAAAGGCCUACCAAGACAAUGAUGCAUAGCCGAGUUGAGGGACUGAUCGGCCACAUUGGGACUGAGACACGGCCCAAACUCCUACGGGAGGCUGCAGUAGGGAAUCUUCCACAAUGGGCGAAAGCCUGAUGGAGCAACGCCGCGUGUGUGAUGAAGGCUUUAGGGUCGUAAAGCACUGUUGUAUGGGAAGAAAUGCUAGAAUAGGGAAUGAUUCUAGUUCGACGGUACCAUACCAGAAAGGGACGGCUAAAUACGUGCCAGCAGCCGCAGUAA
rnacentral:rRNA from 1 species